CGACACGGUGACGUGGGGCGGAUCCCUGAAAACCGGUCUCAGUUCGGAUCGCAGUCUGCAACUCGACUGCGUGAAGGUGGAGUCGCUAGUAAUCGCGGAUCAGCAACGCCGCGGUGAAUGCGUUCCCGGGCCUUGUACACACCGCCCGUCACACCAUGGGAGUCGGUAACACCCAAAGUUGGUAGUCUAACCGCAAGGAGGACGCCGCCUAAGGUGGGAUUGAUGACUGGGGUGAAGUCGUAACAAGGUACC
rnacentral:rRNA from 1 species